UCGGGAGUAAAGUUUUGUUUAAACCGAAAAAAUAUUGACUGACUUUAGAUUUUUCUUUGGAAUAUGUGUUUUUUUGGAGAGCCCUCUUUUAUAGUGAAUUUUGUUGGCGCAUGUAUGAUUGUUUAGUUUUUACUUUUUUGGUAAUGCUUUGUGUUUUAUACAUUUAAAACAGAUAUAUAUUUGGCUUAUGGAUUUAUUUUUCAUGUGUUACUAUUGUUAAUUUUCUUUGGAUUAAUUUUUAAUUUUUUUGUUGAAAUUGGAAAAGAAAGUAAUUUUUUCUUAAU
rnacentral:rRNA from 1 species